ensembl:lncRNA
GGGGUUUGAGGAUAUCUGAAUGGAUGGAAGAGGGAAAAGAAAGGGACUAUAUAGUGAAUAUAUAUAUCAAGCACUCGGGCCAAUUGUAAAAAAGAAAAUGAGAACGAGAUCGAUUCUGCGUCGCACAGGAGCGCGCGUACGAGGUCAGUAUAGCCGCAGCACAUGACGCACUCGGCCCCCGCUCUCACGCUCUCUUCUCCUCCAACUUCCAUAUGAGAUUGGCCUACCUUAUUUCCACGGGUGGCGCCAUAGUCAGACACUUGUUUAUUUUAAGGUCCAUCUCAUACGAAAAAACACACUGACACACUCAUGUCCGCUAAAGCUAAAUUCAUCUUUACCGCCUCGUGAUCGAUAGUUAUAACCGAAUCGCUGAGACGGAGCGGACACAGCUGUUUACAUAUGUUCGAUCCACACCAACCAGCAUCUGCUGCUUGUGAAGAAGCUCUCAUCGAUGCGGGUGGACCACGACAUGGUGGCCUGGAUUGGAGGCUACCUCUCAGGCAGGCCACAGUACGUGCGGCUGCAAAGCGGCCUGUCAGAUGUGGUGAUGAGUAACACCAGCGCACCCCAAAGAACAGUACUUUGACCUUUUCUCUUCACCAUCGACACCUCUGACUUCAGCUUCAACUCUGGAACAUCCGACGGAGCAGGAAACCCCACACUCGUAUCCUUGGAGUGGAUAGGAGUUCCUUGGAGUGUGCAUAAACAAUAAACUGAACGGGCCAGACAACACUGAGGCCCUGUAUCGGAAGGGUCAGAGCAGACUCUUCUUCCUCAGGAGGCUCAGGUCCUUUGACGUGUGUGGCAGGCUACUAAAGAUGUUUCAUCUGUCUGUGGUAGCCAGCACACUGUUCUUUGCUGGGGCGUGCUGGCGAGGAGGGUUCACGGCUGGGGAGUCCAAUAGACUCAACAAGCUGGUGAGGAAGGCCAGCUCUGUUGUGGGGCUAGAACUGGACAGUCUGGAGGUAGUGGUGGAGAGGAGGAUAAGGGAAAAAUUCAAAUCCAUCUUGGGUAACCCCUCCCAUCCCCUCUAUGCUGAGCUGCGGCAGAUGGGGAGCCCCUUUAGCCACAAAUUUGUUUCAGAUGUCCUAACGAUAGUAAUGGAUGAUGCCUAUUUAGUUAGGAACAGUCUUAGUUAAAAACAUGCUUUCAUGUACUCACAUCCAGUUUUUGAGUUUACUGCUGAAAAAUUGUUUUGCUUUGUUCUGGUUAGUCCUCUGUUGCCUCCACACCUUUCUUUCACAUCUGCUCUUUUCACUCUUCUCUGAAAACUCUGCUCUUGGAGAACAGACCAACUGGGUUGGGGGCCUGUUUCUUCUUUCAUUCAUUUUCUUCAGUCAUUUGUAGAGGAAACUACAAGUGUGUAUCUGU